GAUGAACGCUGGCGGCAGGCCUAACACAUGCAAGUCGAACGGAUCCUUCGGGAUUAGUGGCGGACGGGUGAGUAACGCGUGGGAACAUACCCAAAGGUACGGAAUAGCCUCGGGAAACUGGGAGUAAUACCGUAUGUGCUCGAAAGAGAAAAGAUUUAUCGCCUUUGGAUUGGCCCGCGUUGGAUUAGGUAGUUGGUGGGGUAAUGGCCUACCAAGCCGACGAUCCAUAGCUGGUUUGAGAGGAUGAUCAGCCACACUGGGACUGAGACACGGCCCAGACUCCUACGGGAGGCAGCAGUGGGGAAUCUUAGACAAUGGGGGAAACCCUGAUCUAGCCAUGCCGCGUGAUCGAUGAAGGCCUUAGGGUUGUAAAGAUCUUUCAGGUGGGAAGAUAAUGACUGUACCACCAGAAGAAGCCCCGGCUAACUCCGUGCCAGCCGCCGCAGUAA
rnacentral:rRNA from 1 species